rnacentral:lncRNA from 1 species
CAAGACUUCUCCAAGGAGGUGGACUUGGAUCUCAGCCUUAAGAGAUGAGUAGAAGUUUGCCAAAGAUGGAGAGCAUCCCAAACAGAACAGAGAUGACCAGGUCAAGAACUUCACGGUGGCAAGUCCCUGGAUACCUGCUGGGCUGAGCAGAAGGAAGCGUCUCCCACCCCCUGCCCUGCUCAACUUCAAGUACUGGGAACCCCCAGCAACAGCAGUCCCACUGGCAGGCAGUGUCUGGAAUCAGUCCUGCUGACCCAAACCAGAUGUGAGCCAUAUUUGGGAAUCCAGCCUAGGAAGCACACGAAACGAACACCGGCCAUCUGAAUUCAGCAAACUCAUGUAUUUGGAUGCUCGAAAGCAGCAGUCAUCUAUCAAAGGAAGUGUAUUGGACUAAAUGGAGAGAUUUUUAAUAAGAGGCAAGGGGGUGCACUUUCCCUAAUAAAAAGAGCAGAGAG